AGAGUUUGAUCCUGGCUCAGAAUCAACGCUGGCGGCGUGCCUAACACAUGCAAGUCGAACGAGAAAGUGGAGCAAUCCAUGAGUAAAGUGGCGCACGGGUGAGUAACACGUGACUAACCUACCCUUGAGUGGGGGAUAACCUAGGGAAACCUGGGCUAAUACCGCAUAAUACCUACGGGUCAAAGGAGCAAUUCGCUCGAGGAGGGGGUCGCGGCCGAUUAGUUAGUUGGCGGGGUAAUGGCCCACCAAGACUGUGAUCGGUAUCCGGCCUGAGAGGGCGCACGGACACACUGGAACUGAAACACGGCCAGACUCCUACGGGGGGCAGCAGUGGGGAAUUUUGCGCAAUGGGGGAAACCCCUGACGCAGCAACGCCGCGUGGAGGAUGAAGUCCUUCGGGACGUAAACUCCUUUCGAUCGGGACGAUUAUGACGGUACCGGAAGAAGAAGCCCCGGCUAACUUCGUGCCAGCAGCCGCGGUAAUACGAGGGGGGCGAGCGUUGUUCGGAAUUAUUGGGCGUAAAGGGUGCGUAGGCGGUUUGGUAAGUCUGAUGUGAAAUCUAUGGGCUCAACUCAUAGUCUGCAUCGGAAACUGCCGGGCUUGAGUGUGGGAGAGGUGAGUGGAAUUUCCGGUGUAGCGGUGAAAUGCGUAGAUAUCGGAAGGAACCCUGUGGCGAAAGCGGCUCACUGGACCACAACUGACGCUGAUGCACGAAAGCUAGGGGAGCAAACAGGAUUAGAUACCCUAGUAGUCC
rnacentral:rRNA from 1 species